CGGUGCUUGCGUCACCUGACAUCACGUGACCGGAUUAUCGGAUUCGCCCAUUUAUGGACGAGCCCGUAGCCGGGCUACGUCUCCGUCACGGAGGU
rnacentral:ncRNA from 1 species